rnacentral:rRNA from 1 species
UACGAAGGGGUGAGCGUGUUCGGUGAAUUACUGGGCGUAAAGCGCACGUAGGCGGAUUGUUAAGUCAGAGGUGAAAGACGGCCGCUCAACGGUCGCAGUGCCUUUGAUACUGGAUAUCUUGAGUGCAGACGAGGUCUGUGGAAUGGAUGGUGUAGCGGUGAAAUGCUUAGAUACCAUCCAGAACACCAAUUGCGAAGGCAGCAGACUAGGGUGCAAGCUGACGCUGAGGCACGAAAGUGCGGGGAUCAAAACAGG